AAGUAUGUGAGCUGGCUGCCAAGAAAAGCCGCUAUUGUUUAUGAUAUACCCGUACCGUAAACCGACACAGGUGGAUGAGGAGAGAAUCCUAAGGCCGACGGGAGAAGCAUUGUUAAGGAACUCGGCAAAAUGACUCCGUAACUUCGGGAGAAGGAGUGCCAUGUAAAAGUGGCCGCAGAGAAUUGGCCCAAGCAACUGUUUAGCAAAAACACAGGUCUAUGCAAAACCGAAAGGUGAGGUAUAUGGGCUGACGCCUGCCCGGUGCUGGAAGGUUAAGGGGAGAGGUUAGUCGUAAGGCGAAGCUUUGAACUUAAGCCCCAGUAAACGGCGGCCGUAACUAUAACGGUCCUAAGGUAGCGAAAUUCCUUGUCGGGUAAGUUCCGACCCGCACGAAAGGCGUAAUGAUUUGGGCACUGUCUCAACAAUGCACCCGGUGAAAUUGAAAUACCAGUGAAGAUGCUGGUUACCUGCGCCAGGACGGAAAGACCCCAUGGAGCUUUACUCCAGCUUGAUACUGGGAUUCGAUAUUGCAUGUACAGGAUAGGUGGGAGACUGAGAACUGAUGACGCCAGUUGUCAGGGAGUCACUGUUGGGAUACCACCCUUGUAGUAUUGGAUUUCUAACCAGCAGCCGUGAACCGGCUGGGGGACAAUGUCAGGUGGGGAGUUUGACUGGGGCGGUCGCCUCCGAAAGGGUAUCGGAGGCGCUCAAAGGUUCCCUCAGAAUGGUUGGAAACCAUUCGAAGAGUGCAAAGGCAGAAGGGAGCUUGACUGCGACACCGACGGGUGGAGCAGGUACGAAAGUAGGACUUAGUGAUCCGGUGGUAUAAAGUGGGAUUGCCAUCGCUCAACGGAUAAAAGCUACCCUGGGGAUAACAGGCUUAUCACUCCCAAGAGUUCACAUCGACGGAGUGGUUUGGCACCUCGAUGUCGGCUCAUCGCAUCCUGGGGCUGAAGUAGGUCCCAAGGGUUGGGCUGUUCGCCCAUUAAAGCGGUACGCGAGCUGGGUUCAGAACGUCGUGAGACAGUUCGGUCCCUAUCCGGCGUGGGCGUAGGAUAUUUGAGAGGAGCUGCCCUUAGUACGAGAGGACCGGGGUGGACUGGCCGCUGGUGGAUCUGUUGUAUUACCAAAUGCAUGGCAGAGUAGCCAAGCCGGGACGGGAUAAACGCUGAAGGCAUCUAAGCGUGAAGCCCCCCUCAAGAUGAGAUAUCCCAUAACGUCAAGUUAGUAAGACCCCUUGAAGACGACGAGGUAGAUAGGGCAGAGGUGGAAGUGUGGUAACACAUGGAGCUGACUGUUACUAAUAGGUCGAGGGCAUAACCAA
rnacentral:rRNA from 1 species